UCAUCCGGGGUCGAACCGAGCCGGACCAGAGCGAGUUGCGUCUUGCGCGUGGCCCACCUAAUUUUCCAUCGUCUCAGACGUAAUUUCUUUUUCUUUUUUACAGCGACAAUUUCUCGGUCGAGCUAAACCCACCUUCCUCAAAUCGUGUGUGCGGUUCCGGAUUUUUGGUUCGGUGGAGUCGGGGUGUGGCCUGGCGAUUGGCGAGGAUAGGUGGUGCCGGCGGCGACGCCUAGGGAAGGAGCAACCGGCGGUGGCGCGUGAGAGCAGGAGGAGCGGCGCACGCGGCGUGGCGGCGGCUGGCUACGCGGCUUGAUGGCUCAAGCCUGAGCGGCCCCGGCGCCGGUGCCGGUCGUUGGGGCGACGUCCACCUCCAUCCCCAUCUUCUCCUCCGCAGCUCAAAGCCUUGUCCGCUUCAGCGCUACCACGGAGCCGUGAUUCCCAGCGUCAAACAGGCCCCUCGCUAGCCUCCUCCUCCUGCUUCUUCCUCCUCCUCCUCCUUCUCUCUCUCCCUCUCCGGCGCGUGCGUGAACUGGAGACGGAGAUGCUGCUCGUGCUGCUGCCGCCGCUUGGCUCCUCGGGAGCAGCAGCAGCCGCUCGGAUUCAGCCCUGACAAAAAGGUAACCAAUCAAACCAAUUCCUCUUCCUCUGUAUUUUUUUCUUUUAGGCAAGAAUCUAUCUGAGUUUUUUGAGGCAAAAUUCCUCUGAUUAAUUCCAACGCAAUGGAGCAUUGAGAAAUUUGUUGCUGCCAUCACAUCUUGAGUAGUUAAUUACAGCAGCCAUGAGAAAUAUUAUGUUCGAUGGAGUUGACUUGCACCUGUUCGACGGAAUGCUCGUGAGAGUGUUUUUUUUAGCAUAAUGCAGGUUUGUUCUUUACUUCCUUCUCUGCAAGAUUGAAACACUGACCAAUAAUACUAAGAUUUUAUUGUCUGGUCUGCAGAAGUAUUUAAUUUGAUGCCACUGUUUGAGCUUAUGAAAAAUUACAAAGUAGAGUUGGCGUGAUCAUAUCCUUUUUAAGUACUUUCAGGAUUGUACAUCCUCUGGAACAGAAAAUAAACAGGGAGAGGAAAUCAUGCACAUCCUCUUUUCUUAUUUGUAUUUGUCCUGCUUUUCUUUAGCUGAGGCUGAAAGUAAGCAUCUUUGUGGUCAUGUCCUAAUGUUCUAAUACUCCCGCUUUCCUCUCAGAUUUUUCCUUAAAUCUUAUGGUAGCUUUUCACCUAAAGAUCAAAGUAUUCCUCUAUUAUUUAGACACAAACCAGUAAAGCUCAAAUGAUGUGAGUUAAUUAGGUCAAAAGCUGAACUGAUGUGAGUUCAUCAGGUGUUCCUGUUAGUUGGCUUGCCCAAUAGAUAUUAGUUUGCUUGCUCAACUGAAACAAAAGUUUGAUAAUUUGGGACUGGCAAAGGGGGACAUAUAUGAAGAUUCAAAUAUUUGUCUCAGCACAAAUAUAAGCAACAAGGUCUUAUCUCUUCCAUUAUUUUAUUACUAUAUGAAGUUUGAGGUCUCUAGUUUCAACCUGAUGAAGGGUAGGGUGACUCGUUGUAGAAACUAGCAGACUUUGCUGGGUAAUUAGAAUUUGCAAUUUCGUCUCAAUGCAAACUACCAGACUCUAAACCCUGUCUAUUCCAGGAACUACAAAGAUUUGCUACAGGUGGUUUAGCACGUCAAGUAUUUGUGCAGAGAAAGAAGGCUAGGGGAGGAGGUUACAGUAAAAAGGUGCACUUGGCUUCCUUUAGUGUGCUCUAAGCUGUUUGCAGAAGGUAUUCUUGAUGCUUCUUUAAUGUGUGUUGUAGGAUAAUCCAAGUUUUCCUUCUUCCAGGCUCUAUUGUGCUUUUCAGAUCAUGUUAUCCUAUCUAAUGCCCGCUACAACUAAUUUAUCUGUGUCAUCUUGCCCUUUUUCUCGAUUGUUAGCAUGUGAUUCGUUAGUUUUCUUGUGAGUUCCUCCCUAUGUUGUCCUCUAAGAGAUUUCAUUUUGUGCACCGUAAGUCUUUGAUCGCGUACAUAUAUAAUUUCGGAUUUGAUUUAUUGCUAAUGGAAUGAUUGUUUUCAUAUGGUUGGACAUAACCAGGUUUAGCUUAAAUAAGGUGCUUGCAAGCUUACAACAAUGAUUUAUUUUGUGUUCCAAAAUUACAAUCUGUACUAAUCUGUUUGAAAAAAUCAGACUUUAACCUCUUUCCCUGUGGAUGUGUAUCAAAACUGACAGUUGACUGCUGAUACUAUGUUCAUGAAAUUAAGAGAGCUUGUAACGUUGGCUUUUCUUGAUUAUAAUACGAGCAUACUGGUGGUACCCGGUUUAUAUAAUAAUUCAUUAUUAAAUGGAAUUCUUGGAGUUUUUCCUUCAUACCAGGUUUAAGAACUCUUAUGCAUCGAAAUUCACAGGAGAACACCUGCAUGGUAAGUUUCUUUAGUUUCUAUAACAUACAGAUAGAGCUGCUUUGUUUUACAGUACAUUACUGCUUCAUGUGGAUCUCAAACCCUUUCAUGUUCGGCUUAUGGAUUGAAAGGUGUGAUUGCAUUCUUUGGUACGGUAAUGGUCUCAUCAGCUAUUUUACGUUCGUGGAGAGUCUCAGCUUCUCUGACCAUACACCAGUAUACAGUAUUUUUAUGGCAGAGGUUGAGAUUGUCCACCAGAGGAAGAGAGACAUGGGCUAUUUUAGCUCUAGGAUUGAGGUGGAAAAGCUGUUACCACAUUCAGAGAGCUAAACUUCCUCUAAUUUUACUUGUGAGCAUGUUGUAAGGUUAGGAGGUGAAAAGCAUUUAUGUAUGGUUUAAGAAUCAAAGCACACUGGAUUAUCAGAUGUGAGUUUGACUAAAUAUUUCUUCUUUCGCCUCUUUGUUUGAUGAAACGGACAUGCUUAGAGUCUAAGAUAUGAAUAUGAUUGCCGAUAAUGAUGAUGAUUUAAUCUGAAACCUAAUAUCUUGUUGUUUCGUCAUGUCUCAUGACAAAUACUCAAGCAAGAAUGUGCAAAUACUAACUUACAGGAUGUUGGGCAAUUUUGCAGGCAGUCAUUGUGUCAGAUGGAGAGAAGUGUUACUGGCCUGAGGGAGGAAUGAUGAGUCUGAAAGGGCUUGCAUAUAUAGUUACAAUCAUGUCUAUACCUUUCUUCUUCUGCUGUUGUAGUGCUUGAGCAGUUAAGUGAGGCAUGUGUUUUUUGUACUCGUCGUUGUUGUGACAAAAGGAUUGCUUAAUUUGACCUCUGUAAUGAUGCUUGAAAAUUUUCGUUUGCCACUCUAUUUUGUUAAUCAAACAAGUUCCUGCGCA